UGGGGAAUAUUGGACAAUGGGGGCAACCCUGAUCCAGCAAUGCCGCGUGUGUGAAGAAGGUCUUCGGAUUGUAAAGCACUUUCGACGGGGACGAUGAUGACGGUACCCGUAGAAGAAGCCCCGGCUAACUUCGUGCCAGCAGCCGCGGUAAUACGAAGGGGGCUAGCGUUGCUCGGAAUGACUGGGCGUAAAGGGCGUGUAGGCGGUUUACACAGUCAGAUGUGAAAUCCCCGGGCUUAACCUGGGAGCUGCAUUUGAUACGUGUAGACUAGAGUGUGAGAGAGGGUUGUGGAAUUCCCAGUG
rnacentral:rRNA from 1 species